rnacentral:rRNA from 1 species
UNUGACUUGAGUGCAGGAGGGGAGAGUGGAAUUCCAUGUGUAGCGGUGAAAUGCGUAGAUAUAUGGAGGAACACCAGUGGCGAAAGCGGCUCUCUGGUCUGUCACUGACGCUGAGGCUCGAAAGCGUGGGUAGCGAACAGGAUUAGAUACCCUGGUAGUCCACGCCGUAAACGAUGAGUGCUAGGUGUUAGGCCCUUUCCGGGGCUUAGUGCCGGAGCUAACGCAAUAAGCACUCCGCCUGGGGAGUACGACCGCAAGGUUGAAACUCAAAGGAAUUGACGGGGGCCCGCACAAGCGGUGGAGCAUGUGGUUUAAUUCGAAGCAACGCGAAGAACCUUACCAGGUCUUGACAUCCCGAUGCUAUUCUUAGAGAUAGGAAGUUACUUCGGUACAUCGGAGACAGGUGGUGCAUGGUUGUCGUCAGCUCGUGUCGUGAGAUGUUGGGUUAAGUCCCGCAACGAGCGCAACCCUUAUUGUUAGUUGCCAUCAUUAAGUUGGGCGCUCUAGCGAGACUGCCGGUAAUAAACCGGAGGAAGGUGGGGAUGACGUCAAAUCAUCAUGCCCCUUAUGACCUGGGCUACACACGUGCUACAAUGGUCGGUACAACGAGUUGCGAGCCGGUGACGGCAAGCUAAUCUCUGAAAGCCGAUCUCAGUUCGGAUUGGAGGCUGCAACUCGCCUCCAUGAAGUCGGAAUCGCUAGUAAUCGCGGAUCAGCACGCCGCGGUGAAUACGUUCCCGGGCCUUGUACACACCGCCCGUCACACCACGAGAGUUUGUAACACCCGAAGUCGGUGAGGUAACCUUUUAGGGNCCAG